UCUUUCAUCUCAAGAGCACCUGGGCUUAUAUUUACUAAGAGUUGCGCAUGGCAGAAUCUCCCGCACUAUUUGGCUGAUUUCUCUCUCUGUUUCUGUGGAACGUUACAGAGUUUGUAUAUUUUAAGUGUCUGUAUGAUGUGACCCCAACACAGUACCAACGGCUCCUUUAACGUCAUCCUGCCCCGGGCAUUCCUUUGUUGUUGUAGAAUACUAAUCUUUGCGUGCUCUGCUCUUGAGGAGCCAGGAAGAGCUGCGUGUUCGAGGGGGAGAUGGACACACGAUAAACAUGGAGCACGACAAAUAACGAUAAACACGGAGCAGUGGAGACCAGGGGACAUCUGUCAAUGUCUGGAGACAUCUUUGGUUGUCACAGCUGGAGGUGUUCCUGUCAUCCAGCGGGUAGAGUCCAGGGUUGCUGCUAAACAUCCUACAGUGCACCAGGACAUCCCCUUGUCCCACAACAGGGAAUUAUCCAGCUCCAAAUGCCAACGGCGCUGAGGUUGAGAAACCCUGGUCUGGGCAUGGAAUUACUUCUGAUCGCUCAGGGUUUAUCAAAGAGAUCAUCUGAUAUCGGGUGAAGUAAUCUGACUCAGAAAUUUCUGGUGAUAACUAGCAAUUUCUCAAACUAGAAAGCAGGUAGCUGGUGCCUAUAGGUCCCCAAAGAUGCCAUGUUUCCUCUUUGACUUGCUAAUUUUCCAGAUGCCCUGGUGGUAAUUUACCGGCGCAACUUCUCCUGGGAUCACAUACUCCUUAGGCAUAGGAUUUGCUGUAAUUAAGACCCAAGGAGACUGAAACCUCCUCCUUUGAGAAGAAGCUCAUGAGAUGAAUGAGUCUCUUUUUCCAGUGACCCACCGACCCCCUGUGAUUUCUCCUCUCGCUUUUGCCAGCAGUGAUUCCUCUCGUUCACUGCUUCUUUGUCCCUUUAUUUUCCGGUCUCCAUUGACCGCUACAUUGAAGAGUGGCAGGCGAGGUUCCUCAUGGCCUGGAGAAUCCUUCUGGCUGUGGGGAACCUCAAGAGAAGGUGACUGUUGAAGUAGCCGGUCCACCGAUCCCCAGACUGAGCCGGAUGCUAAGGUCACGUUAGGCAUGGUGAAUUGGCUCCCCCCCAGCGGCCUGUCAUCCCCCCGCACCCUGCGGAAGAGCUGACACACACGUGGGCGUGCACAGACACACUUAAGAUCCUGUGAGAGGGCUCAUAUUGCCAAAUGUUCUUCAGUCACCAUGUGUAGCUGUUGUGAUCACCAUGGUAAUUGACGAGUCUAUCUGGAACAGAUGAUACAGAGAUGCAAGGAAAUGGGUGCUGGACGCUCCCAGGAAUGGCCCGUUGGUAUUUCCUAUGGAGGAGAAGCUCUGGAUGACAUCGUUAAUUUCCUUUUUCUCUUACCUAAGCACCUCUGUUGCUCGAACCCUCUCUACACUCCUUCGCCGAGGCUGCACAGCCCCCAGAUCUUCACAAUGUUUUGAUGCAGUUGCCUUUUGAACUAAGGACCAGGGCAAGAGACGCGGGGAAGAGUUUCCCAGGGGCUCGAAUGGUGUUGGUCACGGAGCCGACGUCCAGAGUGAUGGGUGUGUUGUCAGUCUGAGCACCGGGUCCUGAGGGACAGGAUUCACUCAGGCACCUGCGUGAUGAUGACUAUUUACUUACGACUUACUCAUGUGAUAUGCAGGGCCUGCAGAGCUGAGAGCAGAGACCCUGUUGCUUGGGUCUGAGCCUGAAACAGAUGAUAUGCAUGAAAGGUUCCUUUUUGAGCUGCUUUUCUUUUUGGCUCCAGGAGAAGAAUGAUCUAGAGUCUCCCUAAAGAAAGGAGAAGAAGGAGGAGGACACAGAAAGGAUGGUUUGAGACCAGUGUCCUGCCUCACCUUGUCUCUUGGACCAGUUUAUAGCCCUGAUGCAGGAGGGCACAGCUUG
rnacentral:lncRNA from 1 species